rnacentral:tRNA from 1 species
AUCAAGGUGUCUGAUUUAAGUAGUAAACUGUAAAUUUACUUAAGAAAUAACUAUUCUCUUGAUA